CACUGAUCCAAGCAAAACUACAGAAAUGCCACACAAUCAAGUGGCAUGGAUGACCUGAUUCUGAACCUAGAAAAGGAAUUUGGGCCAGGAACUGACAGAUUGGCAAGCUACUCUUUCAUUUGGAUGGCUGUGCAUUUGUCUCUCUCUUUUUACAAUCUAAAAUUCAAUGAGAGGCCCUAAGUAUUUACUAAGAUGGUUAUCCCUCAAGUUCUUCAGCACUGGAUGCAACCUGAGAAUGAAGCUUCAUGCCACUAUGAACAUGAAAGCAGACAUCAGCUGUAGCAAGGUAGAGAAGGUUAGACAGAGAAAGCAGCCUCGACACAGCCCCAAAGCUCCUGCAUCAUUCAGUGCACAAAAUGAACCUGUUCCAGAGAUGAAUCAGUGUUGUGUAGUGAAGAACACAGUUGUUUGCCUUCUGUGUUGCGUAAGUCAGAAGACAUAUGGUAGAAAGCAGCAGGAAAAGAAAUAACUGUCUCACAGGCAAGUUGAAUGUUACCAAGGAGAAUCAGAUUCUAUGCCUGCCUAUGCCAGACUUCCUAUGUAAUCCUAGGAAAGUGACUUACACUAAAACUUUUUACUGGUCACCACUAAAGGUAUGUUCAUCAUUUUCUAGGUUGCCAACUUGAGACCCUGCAGUCCGACUCUCAGAACUGCUGAGCACUCUGAGCUGCAACUAAA